AAUAAUUCGUCCCGAGGUCUUUGCUCGUUGUGUGCUAUAACAAUUACCGAAAAAAUCGAAACUUUGACGUGAGACACGUCCGGCUGUAAAGUGUAUAGAAGAAGUAAAUGUGUGAGCGAAUUCAUGGACAAUUAUUCCAUUGAUGAAUUUAUUGACGGUACCAAAAUUUUACCUAUUCAUUGCGUGGGAAUUUGAAUUUUGUCGUUACUUUACGGGGGCUGCUCUCUAGCGCUCUGAAGUGGCUCGCAAUGGUUUUCAAAUGAUUUCGAACGCUCGUCGAGAAUCACGUCGUUAGCGCCACCUGUUAGACGCCGGAGUUUCAAACUGAUUAGGCCAAAAGCCAGAAUCAGAACCAAGGAUCCCCUUGUCAAUAUUGACAAGUACCUGAUUACGUUCCAAGAGACGUUUCAAAGUGACAGAAAUUGAUAGUUCUCUGCGUCGUGAAUAAAAUUCUGCAGUCGCAUUCGAAUUUCAACGUAAAUGCAAGGUUACUACGGUUCUGUAGCCUGUGUACGUAGACAUAUGUGCAUGUAUUUAUUUUUGUAGCGAGCCACCUGUCACUUUCAACCGACCGCAAUGCGGUGCAUUUUAAUAUUUGACCACUUGAACGAUGUGUUAUUUACAAAGUGCAACAAAAAAUUUGCCGCGCAUAUACAGAAACUGGCUAGGAUACAGGGACUCAUUCCUGAGGAUAAGGACGAAAACGAUGUCAGUAACAAGCUGAGUCCGAAUACAAUAAUCCAACUGUUUGCGCCAAUUGUAACUUCCCAGCGAGUGAUGGCGUGUCAAUUUGGCAAUUCAUAUACAUCUGUACAGUGUCAGGAUGGCACUAACAUGGUAUUUGAUGAUUUCAUGGGCUAUAUGUUUGUCUACAUAGCCAGUAGCGACGUCACUUUAAUGAAGAGGACUCUGGGUGUCUGCGUAUCCAUUGUUCGACACUUAUGUGGACCUGACGUAGCUCUAUUAAAAUGGAACAAGCAAAGAGUAUCUCUGGUUUCAUCCUUACUGGACGCCUGGAUAACUCUGCGGGGAUGUGAGCAGAGCAUACUAGUCGAGGCUAUAGAACAAUUAUCCGUGAAUCCAGAUUUAGCGUCCGCUACUCUGAGAGCACUGCACGAUGCAACUGACAAACUUAGAACGCAAUCGGAAUUCAGUAAUGUCCAUGCCUUGAUUUUGGUGGAAAAUAAAUUUUUAUCCUUAUACUCGAGUAAAAAUUCACUCGACUUGAGUGCCUCUGAUAUUUUGCUAAUGAUGCUGCUAUGCUGGGUUGCUGGAGAUAAAGGAAAAUUAAUGGAAGAUCAAGACAACUUUGACGAUGACUUUUUAAGCCCGGAAAAUAGCUUGACAGAAGAGUCAAAAGGCCUUAAUAUUGCUGGAAAAUUAGCUAAUCCAACGUGCAAAGACAUCACGAAUUUAUUUGGUGACUCGAGAGAUUCGUCUAUCAGCGAGGGCUUGUACAAGUUGGCCGAAGAUGAUUUAUACAGCCAACUGGUACUGCUUGGUUCUGGUCAUAACUAUACAGCAAAUGCGAUUCAUAUCACAGAAUUAGCGGAUGGUAUUAAUUUAGUUAUAAUCAUAGAGGCAAGCAACUUGUCAACUUCGUCUGGUCUCUACGAUAGUUUUUACUAUUUGAAUACAAUAAACAAUCUGCAGCUGCAGAAAGACAUAGACGAGCUGAAGCCAGCGUUCGAUAAUUUAGACGCAGCGAUAAAGAAAUCCAUAGACGGGAUUAAGAAGAACAGAAAUCAUAUAAACAACGACAUUGAUAUGUGUCAGAGGAGAUUACAAGUGAAAUGGGAAUUUAUACGCAAGAAAUAUGUAGAACUACUGAAAUCCAGAGAUCCCGAAUGCGUUCUGAGAAUAGAAUCCAGCACUUCUGGAUUUACGGAUACUAUGAAAGAGCUACUGCAGCUCACCUGCUUCGACAAGAACUUUCUGAAGCAAGGUGUAGACGUCAUUACAGCUGUCAGUAAAUUGGUCAGACAGAAGAUCAACGACUUCAGCAAUUUCUUGAAAGUCAAAGCUCUUAAGAACUUCACUCUCGGCUCGAGAACUUCCCUAACCAUCAACAAAUAUCUGGAAGAGUUCCCAGGGCUGGUUCAUUUUAUUUAUGUAGACAGAACGACACACAGGCUCACUGCUCCAACUUUGGAUUUCACUAGUCCUGAAACAUUAGCGCUUACCAAUAAGAAGGUAAUAUGAAACGGUCACUCAACGAUUUGUUGCUCUCCUAUUGAAGUAACAUAUGCAACAUAUGGACGAUGGUUGAUCAUAGCAGAGCUCAUUUACAAGAAGGACACUUGUCUGUCAUGUGGAAGGAUACAACGUUUAAUUACGCGUAUUUUUUAUGGUUUGAGGACAA
rnacentral:misc_RNA from 1 species